UUUUUAAAGAAUCAGCUCCCAGCAUGAACUGUUGCAGCUGUGUCAUAACCAGAAAUUAUGUCAUUGACGAGUAAGCGUGCAUGGGAGAUUCUGUCUCUUCCCUCAUGGCUUUCCCAGAGGAAGGAUGUACCUUUUCAGAGCACCUACCAUAAAGGUCUAAUCCACAUAUCCACUUGCAGCCAUGAUGCUGAACUAGUUGACUGUGGUAUAGGAAAGUAGUGUUUUAGACUAGGACUCUUUCUUCUACAAGAUAUUGUUGUGAAUGGAAACUGCCUCUGUAAACUUGGAAGAACACCGAAUGAAGGACAUGGAUUGAAUAAAGCUUCCCGGAGAAUGUGCUGUAUCUCAGCACCCCAGCAAUGAGGCUAAACUAAUUGCCUGCUUGAGUCCACAGAGGAUGCGUUCAAGUUCAGACCAUAAAUAUCCUGGCCUGAAGAACCUGCUUUCCGCCCUUCUAUAUGUUUUACAUUUUGUAACAUCCAGCCAGAUGAAGAGUUCUGGGGAGCAUAAAAGCUUGCACAGUGUUUUGUGACAAUUUGGUUGGAUAAAAGAUUUCAUUCUUAUAUUCUUAUAUUUUCAUUCUUAUAUUCACUGUCUUGUCUGAAUAAUAAAGAAAUAAAUGGACGUAGGUUUGCAUGCCAAAGAUACAAAUCCGCUUGAUUUAAAAGAGGGAAUUUUUAAAGGUACUGUGCAGUAUCUGGAUCCUUCCUUGAUAUCUCCCCACUUAUAGAAAAUGGAUUUUAAAGAAUUUUCUGCUGCUGUUUUUUACUUCAGUUGUGCUGACAUUUCUAGGAUCUGAGACACCCCAGACUGAACAUAACAAAAGAGGCCAUCAAAUUAAGCUCUUUCCCUCACUGUGCAUAGGAACGCCAGCAAGUGGGCAUUGACAGCAGUUCUCCAACUCACGCAAAGAGGGAAUCAUCCC